AGAACUUUUAUGUUGUUUCUAUUUUAAUAUACUUUAAAGUUUAAAUCACAUUAAAAGCUUAAUUUGUACAUUGUGAAUCAAUGAUGAUGCUUUUAUAUAUCGUCACCGUCACUCACAGCCGCUCGCACGUGUUGAGUGCGCAUGAGCCGCACGCAGCCCAACAUUGAAUCGGUUAACCGACCAUCGAUAGCCUUAAUCGAUUGCAUCUCUUAUCGACAAUUAAUCGAUCAUCGAUUAAUCGUUGACAUCCCUAGUAACAAUAUAAAGAAAUCGUGUCAUAUCACAACCUCUAUUCCUAAAGAUUCCAGAUUAUCUAUACACAGGGGGCAACAUACACUACCGUUCAAAAGUUUGGGAUUUUUAACGAUUUUUAAAUGUUUUUAAAAGAAGCAUCUUCUGCUCACCAAGGCUGCAUUUAUUUGAUAAAAAAUUAAUAAUAAUAAAAACAGUAAUAUUGUGAAAUAUUAUGACAAUAUAAAAUGACUUCUCUAUUUUAAUAUAUUUUAAACUAAUUUAUUCCUGUAAUCAAAGCAGGAUCACACUCCAACAUUUCAUAGGCAGGUUUGACUGCAAACACAGUCACCAAAUAAAUUGCAAUGUAGCCUAGAUGUACAACAUUUAAAACUGAUUAACGUUACGCUUUAAUACACAGGUAACUUAAGUUAAUUUUCUAGCCAUGUCAUGCUAGUUAACAUUUACAGAGAGUUAUUGUAACUUACCUUUGUGAAAAUGCUUUGAACACCAUCAUGUGUGGUGGAGUGUUAUCGAAGGUAAGCUUGGCCUCCUUACCGCUGCUAUCCACAAGUGUGUACGUCUGUACGUCCGCGCGAGACCUCAAAACGAUAAAUUGUUGGCAAUAUGGCGGCACAGAGUAGAAUAUUGGUUACGUUUUAAGGGAGGCAGGGAUUUUAGGCAGGAUUUGAUUCAUGAUGUGUGUGUAGAUAUUAAUGUUAGGGAACAAUGUGAGAGUGUACGUUUUAGUAGGAAAACGUAUUACGUGACCCACACUCCGGAACAGAAGAGGGCGGUAAUGCACCAAUAAGCUGGAUGCCAACCGCCGUUAAACUGGAAAGAAGACGAAUAUGACAGCUUGCUGUGAGAGACAACGGGACAGAUGAGACACAUAUGUGUUUAUCUGCUGUAGAGUAACUGAUGAAGGAAUGCUGCCAUCAAAGGAUUUGUAUCUUUUGUGGUGGAGCAGGACCUGCAAGGAAAGAUGAAAAAGAGGGAAAACCUGAAACAAAAGAAUAAUGUAAUGACUUUUUGUAUUGUGUAUGUGUAUUUUUGUAGGACAUGAAAAUGUCUGUAGACUGGUGUGUGGACUGAGGAUGGAGAAGACUACAGCAUCAUCCUGGAAAUGAUCGAGAGUCACAAAUGAGACGCUUUAUCACUCCAGCUCUUACUGUCUCAUCAGGACCAGAUGCUGCUCUGGUGUCUUCAUCCUUAGUGACCCCAGAGCCAGUGAGAGCAUCUAGAGAAAGACCACAAGACACUGAGGAUGUGAUUUUGGUAAUGUUUGUUCAGCUGGUUAAUGUUUAAACAAUGAAGGCCGACUUUCAGAAGCUU